rnacentral:lncRNA from 1 species
UGGAUGUUCCCAACGAUUGUUGGUGUGAAAGCUUAUGCACCUUUCAAAUCUCAAUGUCUUACAUCUCACUACUGAAGCAAAAUAAUAAAGAAAUCUUUAGCUAAACUAACUGAAAUGAAAAAAAUAAUAUAGGUAAAUCGAGAUCUUGCCUUGUACUGAUAAAUAGAGCUCAGCUGCUGGUGAAGAUUGUGCACGCCCCAUGGUAGCCGGCUUCAAAGCAGAGGAUUGCGCCAUGGAACCACACUAGCGGCUCGGGGAAGAAUCGCCCGAACGACACUGACUCCCCCAGUGCUGACAUCCAGUCCUAAAAUCAAAGAAAUCGGACAACGUAAACAGGCCCAGAAGGCACCGUGUCUUACCUUAUCUGUGCUGCGUUGGGGAGAGAUCUGUGUCGACUCCCAUCGUACCGAGGGUUUGAAUUUGAUAUGUGCAACGGGUUCUCUUAGAGUUGUGUCGAAUAUAGUGUACAAGGUAGGUUACAGUUGGACUUGUAGUUGUAUCGUGUUUACAUAAGAUAUGGAGUCGUGUCCUAGUAGGACACUUGUAUCCUAGGCCUCUCUUAUAUAGUAAGGGUAGACACACGAUGUAACAUAUGCCAACAUAAUAGCACCGGAACGCAGGGGAAGCCGGCGGCAAUGUGCCGGUGUCCAGGGCGACCGGGUGCGGUAUUGUGAUGGUGUCACUGGGAGGAGCGCCCAUAGUCAAGCCCCGGGGAUGUAGCCAUAUCGGUGAACCUCGUUAACAAAUCUCGAUGUCGUGCUCGUGAUGAUUGCUUAGUCCUCGAAUGAUCAACGGUGGCCUCGAAUUUAUUCUAACAAGUGAUAUUAGAGCAAGGUCGUGAGGAAGCUGCGGAUUGUUGAUCUAGAAGAAGUAUCGAGUUUGAGAGGGAGCCGACUGUGGCGUGGUUUUCGGCGAGAUUGAGAAAAGCGAUCAGAUGUACAUCGUAGCGUGCAGCAGGCUGAAGUCACGUGGCAUGCAGGUAAGCAGCAGAUCGAUUCGAUGAGCGCUGCUGUGGCCUUCGGAUCGAGGCCGGCCGGGCGGCUGGUGCGUGUACGCAACAGUCAGCAGAUCGGAUUGAUAAUGAUCGGAAGCAACUCCGCGGCUGGCGGCAUACCCUACGUGCGGACAUGUAGCUUCGUUGCCCUGCGUGGCAGGCUGGCUGGUGCGGCUUGGUGGAGCCGUGGCUUGAGGGCCAGAACGUGACGCGUACAUGAUGUACAAGGAGCUGCGGGAGAUUUGUUUUGGACAAAAAAGGAAGGACCGAGUCCUUAUGUGACACAAAAGGGCAGGAGACAGAUCAAUUUGGCGAUGGAAAAAAUUCAUCACGUUGGGAUCCAUCGGAUUUAGCAGGAGACAUUGACAAAGCAACAGCCAGCAUUGAAGGUUGAGCUAGAGCUACUACACGUGAAGAUCAAAAGUUUUUUGGUUGGAAUUGCUAGUAGUACACGCAUGUUCUGUCGUGUACUUGUGCAUCACAGGGAUAUUGCUCAUGUAUUUUUCACAAAGUCAGCCGUACAAAGAACCAGGGCAUCAAUGGGUGUCAGGUUUGAGGUGGAGAAGUUCGUGAAACUGAAAACCUUGGGUUAUGGCAGACUUGGGUGAAAGAUUGUUGGCGCGAUAGGGAUACUUGAAGGAGUUGCAGGAAGUCAUGUCAGCUAAGAUGAAAUUGUGAUGUGAUGGAUGAAAAUUCGCGGAAAACGGUUUGGGAGCCUUGAGUGUGUCGUACAGUCGAACGAGUUCGGCUGAGUCAGACUAGGCAGUCUGAUGGAUCGACAUGAGUCGGUUGGUACAGAAGACGGUGGUGGGAUCAGCGACAGCGACAUAUGAGCGUGAUGUUGAUGGUGACCGACUUCUGGGCGUGGAAACACGUGGCGCAGGCCCGAUGCUUGUGUGGCUUCGACAAGACUAUGACGCGGGGUUGAUUCAAGGUGAUGUACACACGGAGCUUGAAGUCGACGGGGCGUGGGGGUGGACGGAUCAUCUACCAUGGAGUCAUAUUGAAGGUGGAGCUGGAGUCUGGAGGACUUCACUUGGUGCUGAUUGAGAGGCUACGACGUAAGAGCUCAGAGAGUCGAAGCCUAUUCAGUGGGAAAAGCGAGUGACAUGCAGUUCGGACUGGAGCCCAGUGGUUUGAUGGAAGCGUGAAACUCGCCAUCGGUCGGUGAUGAUCGGUGGUACUCUGCAGUGGAGGUUGAGUGGUGUGGGUCCGUGAACCUUGAGACUCGACCGGGACAGCGAAGGCUCGACGCGGCAAUAGCGGCGAGGCGUGCGGUAGCACGGGACAUGGAGACGGGCCAGGGCUCUGGUGGUCAUGCAUGUGGUGAGACAACUGCGAAUUUGACUCGGGAUGACUACAAGCAACGGUGAAAUUCUUUCAAGUUUCAGCCAGACGGUCAAGAAAGGAGCGGUGAUGUUGAGUUCAGGUAACUCUUAUGUGUGACACCCAAUAUGUGAGUUGUUCACUUUCACGCAGGCCAGCGAUCAGUGUGUGAUGGCGUUGGACUGAUGCUCUGGAAGUUGGGAGCGCAAAUGAGAGUAAUGCGGAACUUAAUUUUGCUCGAGUGUUGACUGUGGUCAAGAAUAGAAGGGACUACAAGUUGCAGGUGGAGUCAUAUGGAGUCUUUGGAGUAGCAGCGGUGCUCAUGGGAUAAACUCAAGUCCAAUGUACAUGGAAGUUUGACGCAUGGACGAACUCAAGGUGGUGGAGAAUAUUCGCCAAGGUGGAGUUUGUUAGAGUUGUGUCGAAUAUAGUGUACAAGGUAGGUUACAGUUGGACUUGUAGUUGUAUCGUGUUUACAUAGGAUGUGGAGUCGUGUACUAGUAGGACACUUGUAUCCUAGGUCUCUCUUAUAUAGCGAGGGUAGACACACGAUGUAACAUAUGCCAACAUAAUAGCACCGGAAUGCAGGGGAAGCCGGCGGCAUGUGCCGGUGUCCAGGGCGACCGGGUGCAGUAUUGUGACGGUGUCACGGGGAGAAGCGCCCAUAGUCAAGCCCCGAGGAUGUAGCCAUAUCGGUGAACCUCGUUAACAAAUCUCGGUGUCGUGCUCGUGAUGAUUGCUUGGUCCUCGGAUGAUCAACGGUCGCCUCGGAUUUAUUCUAACAGGUUCGGCACGAGCGCUGGAGCUGAAUAGGUUUUGUACAUUGGGGCUAGCAAGAGUGGAUGGAGCAUGCCGUCAUGGUGGCCGGCGGCUGCGGGACAAGCCCCAUGGUAGCCGGCGGCGAUUGGGGAACGAACAGGAUGGAGUAGAGGCGAACAGGACGAAGGAGACACACUUGUCGUCGAUCACAAAAUAACCUAGGGUGUACUAUGCAUAUUUUCCAAUGGGAAGGAG